rnacentral:rRNA from 1 species
AGAGUUUGAUCCUGGCUCAGAACGAACGCUGGCGGCAGGCUUAACACAUGCAAGUCGAACGCCCCGCAAGGGGAGUGGCAGACGGGUGAGUAACGCGUGGGAAUCUACCCAGAUCUUCGGAACAACUGAGGGAAACUUCAGCUAAUACCGGAUACGCCCUACGGGGGAAAGAUUUAUCGGUUCUGGAUGAGCCCGCGUUGGAUUAGCUAGUUGGUGGGGUAAUGGCCUACCAAGGCGACGAUCCAUAGCUGGUCUGAGAGGAUGAUCAGCCACACUGGGACUGAGACACGGCCCAGACUCCUACGGGAGGCAGCAGUGGGGAAUAUUGGACAAUGGGCGAAAGCCUGAUCCAGCCAUGCCGCGUGAGUGAUGAAGGCCUUAGGGUUGUAAAGCUCUUUCAGUAGGGAAGAUAAUGACG